AGAACAUGCAUGAGUGGAGUCGAGGCAGAGAGAAUCCCAAGCAGGCUCCGCCCUGUGGGUACCAAGCUGGAUGCAGAGCUUGAUCUCAUGACCUUGAGAUCAUGACCUGAGCCGAAAUCAAGUGUCGGACAUUUGACCGACCGAGCUGCCCAGGUGCCCCCGCAAAUUUCCAUUAUUUUCCUCUUCAGCAACUUCAGCCCGGUGUAUGCAAAGGUCAAAAAGGGUUUUACAUCUGCUUUGAUGCCUUGACUCUGUGGGGCUCACACUCCGAAACGUACACACACAGCACACUCCCCACCUGUGUCUAUAUCGGUACCUCACGUGACACUCAAGUUUGUGUGAACGUAAGAUAAUGUAGGGGGUUUCCAUCCGAAAAAUGAGGACAGUGUCGUUUGAAAUACUAGGAAAUCUACAGCGUGGCAUUUUCAGAGAAGCCGGGCACAGCCUCAGACAGUUUCCCUGGCAGACGUGAACCGGUGGAAGGAGGCCACCAGCAUCUAAAACUUCACAGCGGCCAGCCCCGAACGACAGACAGGGAGGCGGCCACACUUAUGUUCUGCGAACACAGAUGGGACAGAAGCCUGGCUUUUGGUGAGACAGUCUUCCCCUGCCCUCGGCCAGGCCCGGCCCCCAUGCUUCUGUGGCUGCUGCUGAUCCUGGCUCCCGGACGACAGCCGGCAGGUCAGUCUUCCCUUCUCUCUUCCCCCUGCUCUCGGGGCACGGGUCCUCCCCCGUACAUGGGGGCUGCGGGGAGUGGGUCAACGUCAGCGGUGACACCUGUGACCAUGGCGGGCUCGCCGAGCCUCCUGUGGUCUCUCCAGCCUUCGGUUCUCUCCCCGCUCGCGUGAGUGAAAGAAGCAUUUGCAGAGGCAGGAGGCUAAUGCCCAGAACCUUCCACGUGUCUCCUCUCUUCCCUAAGGACCCCCUACCCCCACCCUGUAUGUUCAAGCCAGAGCCACCGUCGAAGGACAGAGAGAUAAAGUGCUGCAGCCUGUGUGGCUGUCCCGCUUCAAUUUCUGGUCCCGUUGGUCAGCUACAGUUUUAUCCACAAAGAUGAUUGCGCAGGCAGCCCGUGCCCCUCCAUUCCAAUUCUUUAUAUCCCUCCGUUUUGUAUUGUGUCUGACUUGGCUGGAGAGCGGACAGAAGUUGCCUUCCCCGUGAAAUCUCAAGGGAAGCAAGGUUUAAAAAUAACGAAAGUGGAAAAAAUGUGUAUUAAUUAUGAGCAACCAAGUAGGAAGUGGUUUGUCAGAGUCUAGAAAGUGCUUCCGAGGCUCAUUCAGCCAGGCCCACCUGUGCCUUGGCAGGAAUGUCGAGGACAAGAGCAUCUCAGAAUCAGCCCGCCCCCAGAGGCCAGCACGGUGUCUGCCCAGCUGCCCGUCACAUCUCCUGAGCUUUUCUGAGCCCACACCAGGGACCUGAGACCUCUCCCCCGUGACACCCCCCUGCCCACCCCCAGGCUGGGCAAAGAGUAAGGAAGAGCAGACUCCGCCCCAAGCAGGUCCCUGGGUCCUGUCGGCUCCCCUCCCACUGGCAACCAGCCCUGGUCUCCACCCACGUCCCAUUCACCUUCACCUGCCUGACCCUUUCUCUUUCCUGUUCAGGAGCACUUCCAAAAGCUUUACUUCUCCUCAAACCUCCAUGGUCCACAGCCUUCGAAGGAGAGACAGUGACUCUCUUCUGUAAGGAUCACCAUUCUCUAGCCUGGGAAUACGUAUCUUGGUAUCACAAUGAGACUCCCUUGAGAAAACAAUCCGGAAGACUCCAAAUAAGCAAGUCUGGACAUUACAGAUGCAAGACCCAAAGAUCUUCCCUCAGUGACCCCGUGCAUGUGCAGUUUUUACCUGGUGAGGAAAGAAGGGGGUGGGUCUCUGAAAUCAAGCCCCUGGGCGGCACGUCUGGAGCUUUGCAGCUUUGCAGGCUUUGCAGAAAGAAAUAGAUGGGAUAUGUCA
ensembl:lncRNA